GUUUCCACUGCUGCACCAAGGGCACAAGUCUUAUUCAGCAGGAUUUGGGAUUCCUGGAGAACUGUUUUCAUGAAAAGUCAGAAAUAAUUUCUUUAUAUUCCAUCUCUUAGUUUUCUGUUUUGUUGCAUUUCAGAGGAACAUCAAGAAACC
rnacentral:other from 1 species